CCUACGGGUGGCAGCAGUGGGGAAUAUUGCACAAUGGGGGAAACCCUGAUGCAGCGACGCCGCGUGAGUGAAGAAGUAUUUCGUUAUGUAAAGCUCUAUCAGCAGGGAAGCAAAUGACGGUACCUGAGUAAGAAGCCCCGGCUAACUACGUGCCAGCAGCCGCGGUAAUACGUAGGGGGCAAGCGUUAUCCGGAUUUACUGGGUGUAAAGGGAGCGUAGACGGCAGAGCAAGUCUGGAGUGAAAGGCGGGGGCUCAACCCCAGGACUGCUCUGGAAACUGUACGGCUGGAGUGCAGGAGAGGGAAGAAGAAUUCCUGGUGUAGCGGUGAGAGGCGUAGAUAUGAGGAGGAACAGCAGUGGCGAAGGCGGCUUACUGUACAGUAACUGAUGUUGAGGCUCGAAAGCGUGGGGAGCAAACAGGAGUAGAUAUUGUAGUC
rnacentral:rRNA from 1 species